rnacentral:rRNA from 1 species
UACGUAGGUGGCAAGCGUUAUCCGGAUUUACUGGGUGUAAAGGGCGUGUAGGCGGGGACGCAAGUCAGAUGUGAAAACCACGGGCUCAACCUGUGGCCUGCAUUUGAAACUGUGUUUCUUGAGUACUGGAGAGGCAGACGGAAUUCCUAGUGUAGCGGUGAAAUGCGUAGAUAUUAGGAGGAACUCCAGUGGCGAAGGCGGUCUGCUGGACAGCAACUGACGCUGAGGCGCGAAAGCGUGGGGAGCAAACAGG